GACAGAGGUGCCAAGCGUUAGGCGGAAUCACUGGGCUUAAAGCGUGUGUAGGCGGAUCGUUAAGUACCUUGUGAAAUCCCACGGCUCAACCGUGGAACUGCUGGGUAUACUGGCGGUCUUGAGCCACCUAGGGGCAACUGGAACAAGCGGUGGAGCGGUGAAAUGCGUAGAUAUCGCUUGGAACGCCAACGGUGAAAACAGGUUGCUGGGGGUGUGCUGACGCUGGAGACACGAAAGCCAGGGGAGCGAACGGG
rnacentral:rRNA from 1 species